rnacentral:lncRNA from 1 species
CAAGUUAUUUUUCUUUAAUACACAAUUCUUGACUAUACUUCUUUAUAGGACCACUAUUAUAUUGCUUAUCUUUGUGUUCAUCUGAUAUCCUAACAUCUACAUCAUACAGUAAGGGAAAUAUUUAACAGCUGCUUUUAUGUACUUGUUAGAAGAAAACUACUACCUAACAUUUUGCCUUAAAUGGUUUUUUUUUUUAAUAGACUGUCGUACCAUUACUGAUGAUGAUUUUUAUACUAAUAAAUAUCAGCAUGCAGGAGAGUUGUCUGUUUUAAUACAUACCAAAUAUAUUAACAUUCUGUAGUUCCUAGGGUGUGACAAAGCACCAAUAACCCAUAAGUUAUGACAUAAUGAAUAUGAAAAUCAAUGUAAAUUAAUCUAAAGCAGAUGAUAUAACGCCCUUAAAAGUGCACACAUAGGGAAAAGUUUGUUUCUAUAAUAAUCUAAAAAAUUCACCCCAAACUAUUGCUAUUAGUUAUGCUGCAAAAUCAUUUAAUUAAUUCUGACCAUUUUGGCCCUUUGACUAAAGACUAGAUUUAAGCAGAUGGAUUAAGGAAUUGGAGGAUAGUAAAUACUAACAGCUCUGAUGGGCAUCUUUCCAAAAAUCAAUUGUUGGACAAGGAAAAAUGGGAAGGAAGGAAAAGGAAGAAAAAGAAAGAAGGGGAAGGAAGCAAAGAGGAGCAAGUAGAGAGGGGAGCAAGGGAAGAGGAAGAGAGGGAGAAAAAGUAGAUAAUCCAUUUUUAAAUAUAAUAAAAUGUGGUUGCUCUUAACAGACUCAUUUGGGAAAUAAGUUAUUUGGUGAGUUAGUCGGAUAUAGCGGAAAUAGCACUAGACUAGGAGUCAGAAUACUUCAGUUCUGCUUCCAAAUAGAUCACCAGCUGCCAGUGUAAUUUUAGACAAAUAUGUUAACUCUUAUCUUUAGUCUCUUAAUUUGCAAAUUUAAAUGUUUAGACUAGCAUCUUUAAGGUCUCUUCCAGCCUUAAAACUCUCUGCUGUUAAGUAUUUCCACAGUAGAGGACAAAUUAAUUUAAGGCAAAUGAGAAAUGACAGAGAUAAUGAUACUGUUUAGAUGAGAGACAUUCUGUCUUCGUAAUUGACUGGACUUCUAAAAUGCCUUCCUUGUGCAAACUUGGUAUAUUAAGGGUUGUGUGAUUAUGGAGUUUUGAACAAGUGCCUUACUUGGUGUGUCGGCUAUGAGAUGUGGAGAUGGAUAAUAUACUCUUAGGCUGGCAUGAUUCUGACAUUCAUUACCAAAGAUGUCGCUGUUUAUGAUAUCUGGGGAGAGCCAUAAUGUACUAGUACACCUAGGAGACUGGUUGUAAACUUAUAUUAGGCAAUCAGGGAGAUGAUGAUAAACACUACUUGAAAGAAGCUAGUGACAUGAACAUAUUUUACCAGAUGCCUGUAAUACAAGAAUUCAGAUAAGCCCGCGCAUAUGUUUAGCUCUGGCAGUAGAAUUUAUACUCUGUGAGUUGAUCAAAUCACAUAAAAAUCAAGACUCCUUGAAGAAGUCGGUUGUCUACUUUUACUGAUCACUUGAGCUAUAUGGUGCAGUUAGAGCUGCCUUUGAAAUGGAAAGUAUUUAUUUAAUCCACAGACAAAAGGUUGUUCUCAGGAACUUCUCAACCACAAUUUCAACUAUUUUCUGGCAUGAUAAAUUUUCUUUCCCAGGUGCUUAUGCCAACAGGACCACUAUAAAUCAGCACUUGAAAAGGACCUGAAUUUUUAACUUGGAAAUACACGUUCAGAUAUUUGCAUUUAAAAGAUUGUUCACAAGUUGCUAAAACAUAAUAUAAAUGAAUACCUUUUCUUCCUAAACUUUGGAGAUGGAAUUUUAAAUGUAGCAGAAGUUCAUGGAACACACCUUAAUUGUUAAGUCAAAAACAAGGAGCUUAAAUCUUUUCAGAGCUAACAACUGUAAACUGUAAACUGUGUUACAUAUUUUCUCUGACAAAUAUGCAAAAAUAGAAGAUUUGGAAAAUCUCGACAGAUAAAAAAUCAUAAAGAAUUAAACACAGUUUUCCAUUUUUUUCUUAACUAAUUUUAUACCAAGAGACUUGGUCCAAAUGGUUAGAUACUCUUCAAAAUUAUGAUAAUAGUAAUUACACAAUAUCGUAUUUGUAGACAUGCCAUAAUUUAUCUCAUACUCUGCCUAACUGAAAGCACCUGUUUCAAAAUUUUCGUCAUUGUAAAUAGUGUUGACAUAAAGAUUUUUGCCCAUAAAUUUUUUUUUUUUAACCUCUGGACAAGCAAGCUGGACACCUAGAAUGUAAUCACAAAAUGAAAAAAUUAUGCCUUUUUUCAGUGCCAUUGGUAGGAAUCAUCCGAUGACUUUCAGAUCCACAAGGUGUGAGAGGUCUAAAUAUUCUGCCUUUGCAACAAAAAAGUAUGCUAAUUGGUUAAAAAAAAAAAACAUGUUGUUCAAAUUUACUUUCUUCUUAUUGGUAGUGAGGUUAACAUGAGGUUACUUUUAUUGGUACAAAAUUUCUCAUUCAUAUACGUACACAUCUGUAUAUAUAUUUGGCAUUUAUUAAGACUAUUAACUGAACUUCUCAUUGGAGACACAUCUGACAUAAAAAGUUGGGGACUAUGGUCAAAUGAUUUAAAAAUGCUAUACUGUACUAUUCCACUUGAAGAGUAAUAAUAACUGUUGGUAUGUGAAAGACUCAGCUGAUGCAUAGUG